UACGUAGGGUGCAAGCGUUAAUCGGAAUUACUGGGCGUAAAGCGUGCGCAGGCGGUUCUGUAAGUCAGAUGUGAAAUCCCCGGGCUUAACCUGGGAACUGCGUUUGAAACUACAAGGCUAGAGUGUGGCAGAGGGGGGUGGAAUUCCACGUGUAGCAGUGAAAUGCGUAGAGAUGUGGAGGAACACCGAUGGCGAAGGCAGCCCCCUGGGUUAACACUGACGCUCAGGCACGAAAGCGUGGGGAGCAAACAGG
rnacentral:rRNA from 1 species